rnacentral:rRNA from 1 species
UAGGGAAUCUUCCACAAUGGACGAAAGUCUGAUGGAGCAACGCCGCGUGAGUGAAGAAGGUUUUCGGAUCGUAAAGCUCUGUUGUUGGUGAAGAAGGAUAGAGGCAGUAACUGGUCUUUAUUUGACGGUAAUCAACCAGAAAGUCACGGCUAACUACGCGCCAG